GCCCUGGUGGCCAAGUGGUUAGAGCGUCCGCCUCGGAUGCGGGAGGUCCUGCUGGGUUCUAUCCCCGGUUGAGUCA